rnacentral:lncRNA from 1 species
UAAAAAGGGGGAGUCGCGUCGGAGUCCUGCCAGCUCUCUGCAGGAGCCAGAGGGGCGCUCCAGACACCAGGACAAGUACUCAGUGCUCUUACCUACCUACAACAAGCGCGAGAACCUGCCGCUCAUCGUGUGGCUGCUGGUGAAGAGCUUCUCUGAGAGUGGAAUCAACUAUGAAAUUAUAAUCAUAGAUAAUGAAAGCCCAGAUGGAACAAAGGAUGUCACUGAACAGUUGGAAAAGAUCUAUGGACCAGUCAAAAUUUUGUUGAUAGACCUUUAUUUUAUUUAUUUAUAUGUGGUGUUGAGAAUCGAACCCAGUGCUUCACACAUGCCAGACCUUUGCAUGUUGUCAAAAAGAAAAGAAAUAUGUCCUGCUUGAAUUCUAGGAAGGCUUUGUUAGAGAUUUGGCAGUCUGCGGUGAACUGCUCAUAACACAGCCAAAUUCAGAAGGGGACAAGAUACGCUCACUAGUUUCCAGCCAGAGGAAAACGCUAAACAACGAAAUCAGGGGCCAGAUAUGAAGCAAAAAGUUUACAAGACUAAGUAAUUGGAAAACUGUUAAGAAGGAGGAAAACUUCACCUUUUUUUAGGAACAUAAUUUGUUAUUGGAACAGUAGAGAAUGAGAUGAAGUCAUCCAAGUGUGAAGUUAAGAUUAAGUUUUUGGAGGAAGGGUGAUGUCAGCAUUGAAAAUCACAGGGAAUCAGGAGACUAAACGUGGCUAUCAGUUAUUCUGAAAAGCUUCUAAGACGGCGGGAGAAAAAACUGGGAUUAGGAACUACAUAUAUUCAUGGAAUGGAACAUGCCACAGGAAACCAUAUAGUUAUUAUGGAUGCUGAUCUCUCACACCAUCCAAAAUUUAUUCCUGAAUUCAUUAGGAAGCAAAAAUAGAGUAAUUUUGAUAUUGUCUCUGGAACUCGCUACAAAGGAAAUGGUGGUGUAUAUAGCUGGGAUUUUAAAGAAAAAUAAUCAGAUUAUAUCAAAAGGAAGUUCUACAGAAAUUAAUAGAAAAAUGUGUUUCUAAGGGCUAUGUCUUCCAGAUGAUGAUGAUUGUUCGGGCAAGACAGAUGAAUUAUACUAUUGGUGAGGUUCCAAUAUCAUUUGUGGAUCGUGUUUAUGGUGAAUCCAAGUUGGGAGGAAAUGAAAUAGUCUCUUUCUUGAAAGGAUUGUUGACUCUUUUUGCUACUACAUAAAAGAAAGUUAUUCAUUUAUGCUUACCAUGUCAUUUCAAUGUAAACAUAAAAAAAGCCUGGUUACUGAUUUUUGUAAAAUGUACUCUUAAAGCAUAAACCAUGAGGUAAGAAAAUUUUCAUGCAAAUCUUUUCU